rnacentral:rRNA from 1 species
GAGAGUUCAUCAGGGCGUGAACCGCUGAGAAGGAAGCGGAUAGAGUUGACGAAACUCAGUGGCAUUCAUCCGGCGAUUGUCUGUCGACGGCUGCCUUGUGUUGACUGCUCCUCUCGGGGGGUGGCUGCUUGGUGGUUUGGGCCGAUGGGUUUUGCUGGUGCUUUUGCCAUUGGUAUGCGCUGAGAAGUUCGCUGUGGUGCGUUAAUACCUGCUUGAAAGAGGACCACUGCCGUAUGGUUGUGGAAACCUUUUGCAGGUGGAGGCGUAUCCGUGGUGAAUGCUGUUCGCAGUGCUACGCUUGCUGGUUUGUGCAACGGUUGUCGCUGGCUGAUAUGGCUGUUGGGCGGUCGCAUGCGACUUGCCUACAGUUGAUUGUUGGCCAGUUUGGCAAUGCCAUCUGUUGCAUUGGCGUACGCAUCUCGGUGUGAAAGUUGACCACCUAUCCGACCCGUCUUGAAACACGGACCAAGGAGUUUAGCAUAUGCGCAAGUCAUUGGGUGGUAAACCUAAAGGCGUAAUGAAAGUAAAGAUCGCUUUAAGCGGUUGAUAUGGGAUCUGUGCAGUUUUCAAAAGAUGCAAGUCGCUGCACAGCGCACCAUAGCCCCGUCCCCGUUGCUUGCAAUAGGGCGGAGGUAGAGCGCAUACGCUGAGACCCGAAAGAUGGUGAACUAUGCCUGAGCAGGAUGAAGCCAGAGGAAACUCUGGUGGAAGUCCGAAGCGGUUCUGACGUGCAAAUCGAU